GGGGAGGGGAGGGGGUCGCCCCCGCUCGGAGCGCGCCGCUGGGGAAGAGGCUGGCGGGAAGCCGGGCCGCGCGCCGAGGAAUCGAUGAUUCGGCCUGUGGGCCGGGUCACUGCGGCGGGGCCGGGGGAGCGCCGAUAGCGUGGAUAGGCUCAGAGGGGCGCAGGGUUUUGGCGGCUUCCCGAGUUCCCCUCGCCGACCGCCAUUUCGCGUCUUACGGGAGAGGCGGGGGCUGCCGCGGAGAGGAUAUUUUUUGUUUUGUUUUGUUUUCACAAGAAUUGCCUGGAUGCUUCUAAAGAGGAUGUCUACCAGACCCCAUCCCGCACUAAUUAACUUAGAAGUGGGAACCCUUUAUAAAAUGUAAGCUCAAAGCUACUAUACCAGCAAUAUGUCUGCCUACCUGCUGCCACAUUCCUUGUCAUGAUAACCAUGGACUAAGCCUCUGAAACUCAGCAUCUGGGCAGCACCGGAAGCCCAGCGAGGACAACUCAGACUCAGGAGGCCGGGGACUCUGCAGAAGAGGUGCUCCAGGGCCUGGGUGCCACCAGCCAGCUCAGCUAGAAGAAUGCUGUGAGAACAGGCUGGCAUCGUCACAAGGGUACCACCUGGAGGGUGGGCAGAGGGCCUCGGGGAGGAGCCACAUACUCUUCCUCUC
ensembl:processed_transcript RIKEN cDNA E130307A14 gene